GGCUUCAUAGCUGAGUGGGUAGAGCAUCGCACCGAAAACGCGAAGGUCAUGGGUUCAAAUCACGUUGUAGCCU
rnacentral:tRNA from 1 species